rnacentral:rRNA from 1 species
GACGAACGCUGGCGGCGUGCUUAAUACAUGCAAGUCGAACGGACGGACCCGAAUUUUGUGUCGUUGAUGUUUGCCGAGCGCGUGUGUAACACGUGAGUAACCUCCCCUUAUCUUUGGGGUAAAAUCUGGGGACUCGGGCUAUUAUCCGGUAGAAGCUUCUGCUGCAUGUUGUGGGUAGGAAAGUUUCGGCGGUUGGGGAUCGACUCGCGGCUUAUGAGCUUGUUUGGGGGGUAGUGGGUUACUAAGGGUUCGACGGGUAGCCGGCCUGGGAGGGUGACCGGAUACAUUGGGACUGAGAUACGGCCCAGACUGCUAUGGGCGGCAGCAGUGGGGAAUAUUGCACAAUGGGGGGAAGCCUGAUGUAGAGACGCAGCGUGCGGGAUGCCGGGCUUCGGGUUGUAAACCGCUUUGGCAUGUGACGAAGCGUGAGUGACGGUAAUUGGUAAGAAAGCACCGGCUAACUACGUG